UGCAGUCGAGCGAAUCGAUGGGAGCUUGCUCCCUGAGAUUAGCGGCGGACGGGUGAGUAACACGUGGGCAACCUGCCUAUAAGACUGGGAUAACUUCGGGAAACCGGAGCUAAUACCGGAUACGUUCUUUUCUCGCAUGAGAGAAGAUGGAAAGACGGUUUACGCUGUCACUUAUAGAUGGGCCCGCGGCGCAUUAGCUAGUUGGUGAGGUAAUGGCUCACCAAGGCGACGAUGCGUAGCCGACCUGAGAGGGUGAUCGGCCAAACUGGGACUGAGACACGGCCCAGACUCCUACGGGAGGCAGCAGUAGGGAAUCUUCCGCAAUGGACGAAAGUCUGACGGAGCAACGCCGCGUGAACGAAGAAGGCCUUCGGGUCGUAAAGUUCUGUUGUUAGGGAAGAACAAGUACCAGAGUAACUGCUGGUACCUUGACGGUACCUAACCAGAAAGCCACGGCUAACUACGUGCCAGCAGCCGCGGUAAUACGUAGGUGGCAAGCGUUGUCCGGAAUUAUUGGGCGUAAAGCGCGCGCAGGUGGUUCCUUAAGUCUGAUGUGAAAGCCCACGGCUCAACCGUGGAGGGUCAUUGGAAACUGGGGAACUUGAGUGCAGAAGAGGAAAGUGGAAUUCCAAGUGUAGCGGUGAAAUGCGUAGAGAUUUGGAGGAACACCAGUGGCGAAGGCGACUUUCUGGUCUGUAACUGACACUGAGGCGCGAAAGCGUGGGGAGCAAACAGGAUUAGAUACCCUGGUAGUCCACGCCGUAAACGAUGAGUGCUAAGUGUUAGAGGGUUUCCGCCCUUUAGUGCUGCAGCUAACGCAUUAAGCACUCCGCCUGGGGAGUACGGCCGCAAGGCUGAAACUCAAAGGAAUUGACGGGGGCCCGCACAAGCGGUGGAGCAUGUGGUUUAAUUCGAAGCAACGCGAAGAACCUUACCAGGUCUUGACAUCCUCUGACAACCCUAGAGAUAGGGCUUUCCCCUUCGGGGGACAGAGUGACAGGUGGUGCAUGGUUGUCGUCAGCUCGUGUCGUGAGAUGUUGGGUUAAGUCCCGCAACGAGCGCAACCCUUGAUCUUAGUUGCCAGCAUUCAGUUGGGCACUCUAAGGUGACUGCCGGUGACAAACCGGAGGAAGGUGGGGAUGACGUCAAAUCAUCAUGCCCCUUAUGACCUGGGCUACACACGUGCUACAAUGGAUGGUACAAAGGGCUGCAAACCUGCGAAGGUAAGCGAAUCCCAUAAAGCCAUUCUCAGUUCGGAUUGUAGGCUGCAACUCGCCUACAUGAAGCCGGAAUCGCUAGUAAUCGCGGAUCAGCAUG
rnacentral:rRNA from 2 species